rnacentral:rRNA from 1 species
UACGUAGGGGGCUAGCGUUGUCCGGAUUUAUUGGGCGUAAAGAGCGUGUAGGCGGCCAGGUAGGUCUGGUGUGAAAACUCGAGGCUUGACCUCGAGAUGUCAUCGGAAACCAUCUGGCUAGAGUCCGGAAGAGGAGAGUGGAAUUCCUGGUGUAGCGGUGAAAUGCGCAGAUAUCAGGAAGAACACCAAUGGCGAAAGCAGCUCUCUGGGACGGUACUGACGCUGAGACGCGAAAGCGUGGGGAGCGAACAGG